GACGAACGCUGGCGGCGCGCCUAACACAUGCAAGUCGAGCGAUAACCAGUCCUUCGGGACUGGGGACGAGCGGCGAACGGGUGAGUAACACGUGGGUAAUCUACCCUCGGUUUCGGGAUAGCCCGGGGAAACCCGGAUUAAUACCGAAUGGCCUCUCAGGCUCUCGGGCUUGAGAGAAAAGGUAGCUUCGGCCUCUGACCGAGGAUGAGCCCGCGGCCGAUUAGCUAGUUGGUGGGGUAAUGGCCCACCAAGGCGACGAUCGGUAGCUGGUCUGAGAGGACGAUCAGCCACACUGGGGACUGAGACACGGCCCAGACUCCUACGGGAGGCAGCAGUGGGGAAUCUUGCGCAAUGGGCAAAGCCUGACGCAGCGACGCCG
rnacentral:rRNA from 1 species